rnacentral:rRNA from 1 species
AUUGAACGCUGGCGGCAGGCCUAACACAUGCAAGUCGAGCGAGCGGCGGACGGGUGAGUGAUGUCUGGGAAACUGCCUGCUGGGGGGGGAUAACUCCUGGGGACGGUAGAUAAUACAGCAUACCAUCAGAUGUGCCCAUAUGGGAGUAGCUAGUAGGUGGGGUAACGGCUCACCUCGGCGACGAUCCCUAGCUGGUCUGAGAGGAUGACCAGCCACACUGGAACUGAGACACGGUCCAGACUCCUACGGGAGGCAGCAGUGGGGAAUAUUGCACAAUGGGCGCAAGCCUGAUGCAGCCAUGCCGCGUGUGUGAAGAAGGCCUUCGGGUUGUAAAGCACUUUCAGCGGGGAGGCGUUACUCGCAGAAGAAGCACCGGCUAACUCCGUGCCAGCAGCCGCGGUAAUAC